rnacentral:pre_miRNA from 1 species
AACAUAUUCCCCUCCGUCCAGCAAAAAAUGUCUGAAGUUUAUCAAAAUUUGGAUGUAUCUACACAUGAUUUAGUGUAUAAAUGCAUUCAAAUUUAGUCAAAGUUGAGACAUCCUUUGUUAGAUUGAGGAAUAGUAA